rnacentral:tRNA from 2 species
GGGGAUAUAGCUCAGUCGGUUAGAGCAGUAGACUCAUAAUCUAUUGGUCCGGGGUUCAAGUCCCUGUAUCCCCA